rnacentral:lncRNA from 1 species
CGGAGAAAUGAAUACGCAGACAGGACUGCCCCCUUUCGAAAACCAGUACUUCAUUUGUCAGUCUACUUAUCGUUUCUGGAUUGUACUAAUGAAGUAAUAUGCAACACUCAGACUCUGUUCACAAAAAAAACUAGUUUACUAGAAUUAUUCCUUAUUUACCUUCAGUGUCGCUUUUCCUUUUUCUGCAAGAGCCUGUUUUUAACUAGAGAUCCAUUAUGAUUAUCGUUACUAGGUUAAUGUAAUCGAGAAACAUCACCCGUUGAGAUGCUGAGUUAUAUCCAGGAAGAAUAGUUUAAAAGGAAUGAUGACAAGUUAUAGAAAUCAAGGUUGAGACAGAACAAC